GUCUCAGGCCGUAUCAGCCUGAAGGCGCCCGAGCUCGUCUGAUCUCGGAAGCUAAGCAGGGUCGGGCCUGGUUAGGAUCUGGAUGGGUGACCACCUGGGAAUCCCGGGUGCUCGAGGCU
rnacentral:rRNA from 1 species